rnacentral:rRNA from 1 species
AUCACUUGUCCUUUAAAUGAAGACCUGUAUGAAUGGCUAAACGAGGGCUUAGCUGUCUCCUCCCCCCGGUCAAUGAAAUUGAUCUCCCCGUGCAGAAGCGGGGAUACUUACAUAAGACGAGAAGACCCUAUGGAGCUUUAGACACUAGACAGCCCACGUUAAACUUCCCCCCAAAAGGGAAAAAACAUUGUGACUCCUGUCUCUCCUGUCUUCGGUUGGGGCGACCGCGGAGGAUAAAAGAGCCUCCAUGUGGACCGAGGUUACUAACCUCACAACUAAGAGCUGCAGCUCCAAGCAACAGAAAUUCUGACCAAAAUGAUCCGGCACAUGCCGAUUAACGGAACAAGUUACCCUAGGGAUAACAGCGCAAUC